rnacentral:rRNA from 1 species
GACGAACGCUGGCGGCGUGCUUAACACAUGCAAGUCGAACGGAAAGGCCCUGCUUUUGUGGGGUGCUCGAGUGGCGAACGGGUGAGUAACACGUGAGUAACCUGCCCUUGACUUUGGGAUAACUUCAGGAAACUGGGGCUAAUACCGGAUAGGAGCUCCUGCUGCAUGGUGGGGGUUGGAAAGUUUCGGCGGUUGGGGAUGGACUCGCGGCUUAUCAGCUUGUUGGUGGGGUAGUGGCUUACCAAGGCUUUGACGGGUAGCCGGCCUGAGAGGGUGACCGGCCACAUUGGGACUGAGAUACGGCCCAGACUCCUACGGGAGGCAGCAGUGGGGAAUAUUGCACAAUGGGCGGAAGCCUGAUGCAGCAACGCCGCGUGCGGGAUGACGGCCUUCGGGUUGUAAACCGCUUUCGCCUGUGACGAAGCGUGAGUGACGGUAAUGGGUAAAGAAGCACCGGCUAACUACGUGCCAGCAGCCGCGGUGAUACGUAGGGUGCGAGCGUUGUCCGGAUUUAUUGGGCGUAAAGGGCUCGUAGGUGGUUGAUCGCGUCGGAAGUGUAAUCUUGGGGCUUAACCCUGAGCGUGCUUUCGAUACGGGUUGACUUGAGGAAGGUAGGGGAGAAUGGAAUUCCUGGUGGAGCGGUGGAAUGCGCAGAUAUCAGGAGGAACACCAGUGGCGAAGGCGGUUCUCUGGGCCUUUCCUGACGCUGAGGAGCGAAAGCGUGGGGAGCGAACAGGCUUAGAUACCCUGGUAGUCCACGCUGUAAACGGUGGGUACUAGGUGUGGGGUCCAUUCCACGGGUUCCGUGCCGUAGCUAACGCUUUAAGUACCCCGCCUGGGGAGUACGGCCGCAAGGCUAAAACUCAAAGGAAUUGACGGGGCCCCGCACAAGCGGCGGAGCAUGCGGAUUAAUUCGAUGCAACGCGUAGAACCUUACCUGGGUUUGACAUGGAUCGGGAGCGCUCAGAGAUGGGUGUGCCUCUUUUGGGGUCGGUUCACAGGUGGUGCAUGGCUGCCGUCAGCUCGUGUCGUGAGAUGUUGGGUUAAGUCCCGCAACGAGCGCAACCCUUGUUCACUGUUGCCAGCACGUUAUGGUGGGGACUCAGUGGAGACCGCCGGGGUCAACUCGGAGGAAGGUGGGGAUGACGUCAAGUCAUCAUGCCCCUUAUGUCCAGGGCUUCACGCAUGCUACAAUGGCUGGUACAGAGAGUGGCGAGCCUGUGAGGGUGAGCGAAUCUCGGAAAGCCGGUCUCAGUUCGGAUUGGGGUCUGCAACUCGACCUCAUGAAGUCGGAGUCGCUAGUAAUCGCAGAUCAGCAACGCUGCGGUGAAUACGUUCCCGGGGCU